AGAGUGGUUAGCGGCAAUAAGUAGAUUCAGCCGUGACAUACACUGUUUGAACCUGAUGGAGACUCAAUAUAAAGUGAUACAUUUUUGGUAUUUGGAUCCUAAAAAAAUUUCCAAGUUCUCUUAUAUGAAAGAUAAUAAAUGUUGGAGGUGCAAUAAAGAUGAGGCAGACUACUUACAUAUGUGGUGGAAUUGUGAAGUUGCAGUUAAUUUAUGGGACAUGACUUAUGAAAAGCUGCAGGCUCUAGGG